CCCUGGGAGUGGCUGGGGAGGACAGAGGCGGCUUGCUUGGGUCCGCGGCGGCAUGGGCCCUGAUUCCACUGUCUCCAGCACGGCAGUGGCUAGGAGGUUACCACCAGAAAACAAUAUUGUCUCCCUGGAGGUAAUGAGAAAAUUAUGGCGACCAUAACCGAACUAAAAAAGUGUAAAAGGCAAAUGAGACUUUCAGCGCUCCUGCUGCUGCAUGUGAAGCCAAUAAAGGGAUGUCUGACCUACCCCCGGUGCCUCAGCUCUUCUUCAGGUUGCCUGAAUCCAGACUGAUACUGCCUAAUCUUGAGAGUCUGCAGAACAGUUGCAUUGAGAUGUAGUCAACAUACAAGCAGUGUGUAAGUUUAAGGUAUACAACAUAAUGAUUUGAUUUCACUUAUAAACAUCAUGAA